CGGCGGUUCCCGUCACCCCCGACCGCGAUGGUGCAUGGCGGGCACCCGGUUGGGGAAGUCAGCGCUCUCGACACCCCCUUUUUAUUUUUUUGCUGGGGCAAAAUCGGCUAUUCAAUGGUAGAACCUCCAACUACAUACCAAAAGCAUCCAAACCGCAGAGGGUAGAGUUAGGGCAUUUUAUUAGAGCCACCUCAACGUCCCAAGAGGGCUUCAACCGAGUUCAGGCAUCUCCAUUUAUCUUAUGCUGCCCACCAGUAAACAUCUUGGUUUACUAUUUCAGCUUGUCAAACAACAACAACAAAUGAACAACACCUGUAUUCUUCCUCUGACUCUGGAAAAGAUACAUAGAAAAUAAUGAAUUGUGACAACCAGGAUAGUAUGUGUUGCUGUAAUCUUAGAUGACUGCUUAUAUAAAGCUCUGAGGAGAGCAUCAUUCAUUUACAAUUACAUCGUAAAUACAAAUCCCUGAUGAAAGUCAACGUGUGCCUGCAAGCUACUUGGACUAGUAGAACUGGUGUGGUCAAAACACAUCACCAGUGAUGGUUCCAUAGCAGAUUUUCCCAACCCGUGCCU